UUUACAAGGCCCUCCACUCUAUUUCACAUCCACCAAAAGGAAGAUCCUACAUGGAUAGAUAUAUCUUUAAAGAAAGACAUUGAACUGGAUAUCCCUGAUAAAAACGAAAGGAAAAUUAUGAAAGGGGAAGAAAAGAACAAUGGAUCAGGAACAAAUAACUUAUCCAAAGAUUCUAAAAAUAGAAGGCAGACGGAGGAUAAUCAAACUAAAAAGAAACAAACAACAGAUGGACUGAAAAAGGCAAAAAAACAACCUUCCAAGAUUUCAUCAGUUUACUGUUGUCAUGUUAUGCAGGCUAAAUCACGCAUCAGUGUUUAGAGUAACAUUUAAACCUUAUUUUUUUAUCUGGUCGUAGAGUACAAAAUACGGUGUAGAAUCUUUGAGUUGUCACUUUCUUAUCAUAUAUUCUCAGGAAUUGCACUCUUGGAAAACUCUAAUCCGGGCAACAAAAAAAAAAAAAAAAGAAUGCGAAGCUAUUGACUUUGCAAAAUUAUUAUUUCCAGCCUGCAGUAAAUAAAUGAUGGACAGGAACUUGGUAUCCGAGGCAUCGGAGUUCAUUCCUAUUUUAGUAACAUUUUUGUUCCAGUUUAGGAAGCUCACAAUUACUGAAAGCAAGUUCAAUGCACUUAUCUUGCUGUUACGAAAUCAUACCGGCGUACACUCUAAUACUGGUUGCUGUACUUUAUUGGAGAUAUUAAAAGCUGCGUCAUGAAAAAUAGAGGAAGGCACCCCCUUGUGCCUAGAAUAAACUAUACAGAAAUAGAAAAGAAACAUUCUAGAAACAUUUUUGUAUUGCUUCAAAACACUAUACUUUAAUAAGCGAAUGGAUGUCUAUCACAAAGAAUACCAGACGCAGUAAUUAAAUAGCAACAGUAUACUAGUAAUCAUGAAAUAAGAAGAUUUGGUACGGUUGACAAAAACUAUCCACCAGAGACCAACUGGCUAAGUUUUAAGCAAUUUAAACGGUUUUGCUUUUUU